rnacentral:lncRNA from 1 species
AAAACACUGGCCAAGAACAAAUUGAGGAAGAAAAUGAUCAUUUGGCUUACAUUCUCCAUCACAAGCUGACUGAGGAAAAUAAGGCAGGAGCCUAGCAGCAGGAACUUAAACAGAGCCCAUAUAGGAAUGUCACUCACUGGCUUUCUCUCCAAGCUCAAGUUCAGCUAGCUUUCUCAUACCUCCCAGAACCACGUGCGGGCUGUGGCACCACCGACAGCAGUCUGGGCCUUCCUACAUCGGUCAUUAACUAAGACAAUACCCCAGGAAGAGACUCACAGGACAAUCUGUGAGGUUCCAGUGAGUGUCACAGUGCAGCAAACACUAAGAAAACUGCAAGUCCUUCCUCAAGAGUCGGAGAGCCCGGCCUGUGGAGCUCACACCUAACUCCAGCACUCAGGAGGCUACAAGGUCUACAGCUCCAGUGUAGUGGAAGCUAGAGAGUGAGUCAAAGGAGAAAGUGGGGGAUGGAGGGACACAAAGACAGAGAGGAAGAGAGACAAGACAGACACCUGGUGCCACCUGAAUAAGACAACCCUGGCAUGCAAGGCGAACAGUCUACACUGUGGAUUCUGCUCAAACAAGAGGCCACUUAUUGAG